rnacentral:rRNA from 1 species
AUUGAACGCUGGCGGCAUGCCUUACACAUGCAAGUCGAACGGCAGCACGGGUGCUUGCACCUGGUGGCGAGUGGCGAACGGGUGAGUAAUAUAUCGGAACGUGCCCUAGAGUGGGGGAUAACGUAGCGAAAGUUACGCUAAUACCGCAUACGAUCUACGGAUGAAAGUGGGGGAUCGCAAGACCUCAUGCCCCUGGAGCGGCCGAUAUCUGAUUAGCUAGUUGGUGGGGUAAAAGCCUACCAAGGCGACGAUCAGUAGCUGGUCUGAGAGGACGACCAGCCACACUGGGACUGAGACACGGCCCAGACUCCUACGGGAGGCAGCAGUGGGGAAUUUUGGACAAUGGGAGAAACCCUGAUCCAGCAAUGCCGCGUGUGUGAAGAAGGCCUUCGGGUUGUAAAGCACUUUUGUCAGGAACGAAACGGUGGGGGCUAAUACCUCCUGCUAAUGACGGUACCUGAAGAAUAAGCACCGGCUAACUACGUGCCAGCCGCCGCGGUAA